rnacentral:rRNA from 1 species
UCAAGAAACUUCCACAAUGGGCGAAAGCCUGAUGGAGCGACGUCGCGUGAUGGACGAAGUGCUUCGGCACGUAAACAUCUUUUAUGUGGGAUGAAAUUAUUGACAGUACCACAUGAAUAAGGGGCUCCUAACUCUGUGCCAGCAGGAGCGGUAAUACAGAGGCCCCAAGCGUUAUCCGGAAUCACUGGGCGUAAAGGGUGUCGAGGCGGUUGUAUUAGUCGUUCGUAAAAUCUACGAGCUUAACUUGUAGGCGGCGAACGAAACGGUACGACUUGAGGUUUGGAGAGGUGCGUGGAACUCACGGUGUAGGGGUGAAAUCCGUUGAUAUCGUGGGGAGCACCAAAGGCGAAGGCAGCGCACUGGCCAAAAUCUGACGCUCACACACGAAAGCUAGGGUAGCGAAGAGGAUUAGAUACCCCCGUAGUCCCUGAGCGGGCUGGCAAGGCGCAU